rnacentral:rRNA from 1 species
CCUACGGGGGCUGCAGUGGGGAAUAUUGGACAAUGGGCGAAAGCCUGAUCCAGCCAUGCCGCGUGUGUGAAGAAGGCCUUCGGGUUGUAAAGCACUUUCAGUGGGGAAGAAAGCCUUGGGGCUAAUACCCUCGAGGAAGGACAUCACCCACAGAAGAAGCACCGGCUAACUCCGUGCCAGCAGCCGCGGUAAUACGGAGGGUGCGAGCGUUAAUCGGAAUUACUGGGCGUAAAGCGCGCGUAGGCGGUCUGAUAAGCCGGUUGUGAAAGCCCCGGGCUCAACAUGGGAACGGCAUCCGGAACUGUCAGGCUAGAGUGCAGGAGAGGAAGGUAGAAUUCCCGGUGUAGCGGUGAAAUGCGUAGAGAUCGGGAGGAAUACCAGUGGCGAAGGCGGCCUUCUGGACUGACACUGACGCUGAGGUGCGAAAGCGUGGGUAGCAAACAGGAUUAGAUACCCGAGUAGUC